rnacentral:rRNA from 1 species
GAUGAACGCUGGCGGCGUGCCUAAUACAUGCAAGUCGAGCGAAUGGAUUAAGAGCUUGCUCUUAUGAAGUUAGCGGCGGACGGGUGAGUAACACGUGGGUAACCUGCCCAUAAGACUGGGAUAACUCCGGGAAACCGGGGCUAAUACCGGAUAAUAUGUUGAACCGCAUGGUUCGAAAUUGAAAGGCGGCUUCGGCUGUCACUUAUGGAUGGACCCGCGUCGCAUUAGCUAGUUGGUGAGGUAACGGCUCACCAAGGCAACGAUGCGUAGCCGACCGGAGAGGGUGAUCGGCCACACUGGGACUGAGACACGGCCCAGACUCCUACGGGAGGCAGCAGUAGGGAAUCUUCCGCAAUGGACGAAAGUCUGACGGAGCAACGCCGCGUGAGUGAUGAAGGCUUUCGGGUCGUAAAACUCUGUUGUUAGGGAAGAACAAGUGCUAGUUGAAUAAGCUGGCACCUUGACGGUACCUAACCAGAAAGCCACGGCUAACUACGUGCCAGCAGCCGCCGUAA